GGGUUGUGAGGUUAAGCGACUAAGCGUACACGGUGGAUGCCCUGGCAGUCAGAGGCGAUGAAGGACGUGCUAAUCUGCGAUAAGCGUCGGUAAGGUGAUAUGAACCGUUAUAACCGGCGAUUUCCGAAUGGGGAAACCCAGUGUGUUUCGACACACUAUCAUUAACUGAAUCCAUAGGUUAAUGAGGCGAACCGGGGGAACUGAAACAUCUAAGUACCCCGAGGAAAAGAAAUCAACCGAGAUUCCCCCAGUAGCGGCGAGCGAACGGGGAGCAGCCCAGAGCCUGAAUCAGUGUGUGUGUUAGUGGAAGCGUCUGGAAAGGCGCGCGAUACAGGGUGACAGCCCCGUACACAAAAAUGCACAUGCUGUGAGCUCGAUGAGUAGGGCGGGACACGUGGUAUCCUGUCUGAAUAUGGGGGGACCAUCCUCCAAGGCUAAAUACUCCUGACUGACCGAUAGUGAACCAGUACCGUGAGGGAAAGGCGAAAAGAACCCCGGCGAGGGGAGUGAAAAAGAACCUGAAACCGUGUACGUACAAGCAGUGGGAGCACGCUUAGGCGUGUGACUGCGUACCUUUUGUAUAAUGGGUCAGCGACUUAUAUUCUGUAGCAAGGUUAACCGAAUAGGGGAGCCGAAGGGAAACCGAGUCUUAACUGGGCGUUAAGUUGCAGGGUAUAGACCCGAAACCCGGUGAUCUAGCCAUGGGCAGGUUGAAGGUUGGGUAACACUAACUGGAGGACCGAACCGACUAAUGUUGAAAAAUUAGCGGAUGACUUGUGGCUGGGGGUGAAAGGCCAAUCAAACCGGGAGAUAGCUGGUUCUCCCCGAAAGCUAUUUAGGUAGCGCCUCGUGAAUUCAUCUCCGGGGGUAGAGCACUGUUUCGGCAAGGGGGUCAUCCCGACUUACCAACCCGAUGCAAACUGCGAAUACCGGAGAAUGUUAUCACGGGAGACACACGGCGGGUGCUAACGUCCGUCGUGAAGAGGGAAACAACCCAGACCGCCAGCUAAGGUCCCAAAGUCAUGGUUAAGUGGGAAACGAUGUGGGAAGGCCCAGACAGCCAGGAUGUUGGCUUAGAAGCAGCCAUCAUUUAAAGAAAGCGUAAUAGCUCACUGGUCGAGUCGGCCUGCGCGGAAGAUGUAACGGGGCUAAACCAUGCACCGAAGCUGCGGCAGCGACGCUUAUGCGUUGUUGGGUAGGGGAGCGUUCUGUAAGCCUGCGAAGGUGUGCUGUGAGGCAUGCUGGAGGUAUCAGAAGUGCGAAUGCUGACAUAAGUAACGAUAAAGCGGGUGAAAAGCCCGCUCGCCGGAAGACCAAGGGUUCCUGUCCAACGUUAAUCGGGGCAGGGUGAGUCGACCCCUAAGGCGAGGCCGAAAGGCGUAGUCGAUGGGAAACAGGUUAAUAUUCCUGUACUUGGUGUUACUGCGAAGGGGGGACGGAGAAGGCUAUGUUGGCCGGGCGACGGUUGUCCCGGUUUAAGCGUGUAGGCUGGUUUUCCAGGCAAAUCCGGAAAAUCAAGGCUGAGGCGUGAUGACGAGGCACUACGGUGCUGAAGCAACAAAUGCCCUGCUUCCAGGAAAAGCCUCUAAGCAUCAGGUAACAUCAAAUCGUACCCCAAACCGACACAGGUGGUCAGGUAGAGAAUACCAAGGCGCUUGAGAGAACUCGGGUGAAGGAACUAGGCAAAAUGGUGCCGUAACUUCGGGAGAAGGCACGCUGAUAUGUAGGUGAAGUCCCUCGCGGAUGGAGCUGAAAUCAGUCGAAGAUACCAGCUGGCUGCAACUGUUUAUUAAAAACACAGCACUGUGCAAACACGAAAGUGGACGUAUACGGUGUGACGCCUGCCCGGUGCCGGAAGGUUAAUUGAUGGGGUUAGCGCAAGCGAAGCUCUUGAUCGAAGCCCCGGUAAACGGCGGCCGUAACUAUAACGGUCCUAAGGUAGCGAAAUUCCUUGUCGGGUAAGUUCCGACCUGCACGAAUGGCGUAAUGAUGGCCAGGCUGUCUCCACCCGAGACUCAGUGAAAUUGAACUCGCUGUGAAGAUGCAGUGUACCCGCGGCAAGACGGAAAGACCCCGUGAACCUUUACUAUAGCUUGACACUGAACAUUGAGCCUUGAUGUGUAGGAUAGGUGGGAGGCUUUGAAGUGUGGACGCCAGUCUGCAUGGAGCCGACCUUGAAAUACCACCCUUUAAUGUUUGAUGUUCUAACGUGGACCCGUAAUCCGGGUUGCGGACAGUGUCUGGUGGGUAGUUUGACUGGGGCGGUCUCCUCCUAAAGAGUAACGGAGGAGCACGAAGGUUGGCUAAUCCUGGUCGGACAUCAGGAGGUUAGUGCAAUGGCAUAAGCCAGCUUGACUGCGAGCGUGACGGCGCGAGCAGGUGCGAAAGCAGGUCAUAGUGAUCCGGUGGUUCUGAAUGGAAGGGCCAUCGCUCAACGGAUAAAAGGUACUCCGGGGAUAACAGGCUGAUACCGCCCAAGAGUUCAUAUCGACGGCGGUGUUUGGCACCUCGAUGUCGGCUCAUCACAUCCUGGGGCUGAAGUAGGUCCCAAGGGUAUGGCUGUUCGCCAUUUAAAGUGGUACGCGAGCUGGGUUUAGAACGUCGUGAGACAGUUCGGUCCCUAUCUGCCGUGGGCGCUGGAGAAUUGAGGGGGGCUGCUCCUAGUACGAGAGGACCGGAGUGGACGCAUCACUGGUGUUCGGGUUGUCAUGCCAAUGGCACUGCCCGGUAGCUAAAUGCGGAAGAGAUAAGUGCUGAAAGCAUCUAAGCACGAAACUUGCCCCGAGAUGAGUUCUCCCUGACUCCUUGAGAGUCCUGAAGGAACGUUGAAGACGACGACGUUGAUAGGCCGGGUGUGUAAGCGCAGCGAUGCGUUGAGCUAACCGGUACUAAUGAACCGUGAGGCUUAACCUUACAACGCCGAAG
rnacentral:rRNA from 1 species